rnacentral:rRNA from 1 species
AUUGAACGCUGGCGGAAUGCUUUACACAUGCAAGUCGAGCGGCAGCGCGGGGGCAACCCUGGCGGCGAGCGGCGAACGGGUGAGUAAUACAUCGGAACGUGUCCUUGAGUGGGGGAUAGCUCGGCGAAAGCCGGAUUAAUACCGCAUAAGCUCUGAGGAGGAAAGCGGGGGAUUCGCAAGGACCUCGCGCUGUUGGAGCGGCCGAUGUCGGAUUAGCUAGUUGGUGGGGUAAAGGCCCACCAAGGCGACGAUCCGUAGCUGGUCUGAGAGGAUGAUCAGCCACACUGGAACUGAGACACGGUCCAGACUCCUACGGGAGGCUG